GACGAACGCUGGCGGCGUGCCUAAUACAUGCAAGUAGGACGCAGUUGCGAACGGGUGAGUAACGCGUAGGUAACUACCUAUUAGAGGGGGAUAACUAUUGGAAACGAUAGCUAAUACCGCAUACUAGUAGAUGGACCUGCUUUGUAUUAGAUAGUAGGUAGGGUAAUGGCCUACCUAGGCCACGAUACAUAGCCGACCUGAGAGGGGUGGUGGCCAAACUGGGAUUGUGAAACGGCCCAGACUGCUACGGGAGGCAGCAGUAGGGAAUCUUCGGCAAUGGGGGGAACCCUUACCGAGCAACGCCGCGGGAGUGAAGAAGGUUUUCGGAUCGGAAAGCUCUGUUGUUAAGGAAGCGGUACUUAACCAGAAAGGGACGGCUAACUACGCGCCAGCAGCCGCGGUAAUAC
rnacentral:rRNA from 1 species